AGCGAACGCUGGCGGCAGGCCUAAUACAUGCAAGUCGAACGGCUCUUCGGAGCAGUGGCGGACGGGUGAGUAACGCGUGGGAAUGUGCCCUUAGGUACGGAACAACACAGGGAAACUUGUGCUAAUACCGUAUGUGCCCUUCGGGGGAAAGAUUUAUCGCCUUUGGAGCAGCCCGCGUUGGAUUAGGUAGUUGGUGAGGUAAAGGCUCGCCAAGCCGACGAUCCAUAGCUGGUCUGAGAGGAUGACCAGCCACACUGGGACUGAGACACGGCCCAGACUCCUACGGGAGGCAGCAGUAGGGAAUCUUGCGCAAUGGGCGAAAGCCUGCCGCAGCCAUGCCGCGUGUAUGAUGAAGGUCUUAGGAUUGUAAAAUACUUUCACCGGGGAAGAUAAUGACGGUACCCGGAGAAGAAGCCCCGGCUAACUUCGUGCCAGCCGCCGCCGUAA
rnacentral:rRNA from 1 species